AGGACCUCUACAAUGGCAGAACUGUACAGUACAUUGUUACUACUUUAUUCCUAAAUCUAUACAACUAUUGAAACCACUUUAACCCAACACCUAGCAACCUCUUGGCAUGACGGCUAAUUUGUUAGGUUUUAACAGGCUAAUUUGUUAGGUUUUAACAGGCUAAUUUGUUAGGUUUUAACAGGCUAAUUUGUUAGGUUUUAACAGGCUAAUUUGUUAGGUUUUAACAGGCUAAUUUGUUAGGUUUUAACAGGCUAAUUUGUUAGGUUUUAACAGGCUAAUUUGUUAGGUUUUAACAGGCUAAUUUGUUAGGUUUCAACAGGCUAAUUUGUUAGGUUUCAACAGGCUAAUUUGUUAGGUUUCAACAGGCUAAUUUGUUAGGUUUUAACAGGCUAAUUUGUUAGGUUUUAACAGGCUAAUUUGUUAGGUUUCAACAGGCUAAUUUGUUAGGUUUUAACAGGCUAAUUUGUUAGGUUUCAACAGGCUAAUUUGUUAGGUUUCAACAGGCUAAUUUGUUAGGUUUCAACAGGCUAAUUUGUUAGGUUUUAACAGGCUAAUUUGUUAGGUUUUAACAGGCUAAUUUGUUAGGUUUUAACAGGCUAAUUUGUUAGGUUUUAACAGGCUAAUUUGUUAGGUUUCAACAGGCUAAUUUGUUAGGUUUUAACAGGCUAAUUUGUUAGGUUUUAACAGUUGCUUUACCCAGGUUUAUUUCCUCCUGAUUCUGGAAAUCUUACCACUGGGAUUUCUGAAAUCCUGUUGAUAAAAGCUGUUUUUGGACAGAAGCACUGCAAAUGAUCGCAACAAAUCUUAUGCCAUCUCAUUAUAUACAUAGAGGUUGCCAUGGUAACACUUUAAAAUGACUAGCAUGAAUAAACCUUUUAACGAUUUAUAAGCGAUUUACA